GUAGUGGGUGAUGUGGAUAGUAUAUAGGUAGUGGAUGAUGUGGAUAGUAGAUAGGUAGUGGGUGAUGAGGAUAGUAGAUAGGUAGUGGAUGAUGUGGAUAGUAGAUAGGUAGUGGAUGAUGUGGAUAGUAUAUAGGUAGUGGAUGAUGUGGAUAGUAUAUAGGUAGUGGGUGAUGUGGAUAGUGGAUAGGUAGUGGGUGAUGUGGAUAGUGGAUAGGUAGUGGGUGAUGUGGAUAGUGGAUAGGUAGUGGGUGAUGUGGAUGGUGUGGAUAGUGGAUAGGCAGUGGAUGAUGUGGAUAGUAGAUAGGUAGUGGGUGAUGUGGAUAGGUAGUGGGUGAUGUGGAUAGUAUAUAGGUAGUGGGUGAUGUGGAUAGUGGAUAGGUAGUGGGUGAUGUGGAUAGGUAGUGGGUGAUGUGGAUAGGUAGUGGGUGAUGUGGAUCGUAGAUAGGUAGUGUGUGAUGUGGAUAGGUAGUGGAUGAUGUGGAUAGGUAGUGGAUGAUAGUAGGUUGUGUUUGUUUAUGUAUGAACUAGAGAGGGUCAACUCUAGUUGAAUUUGACAUGCCUUCAUGUAGGAAAUAGGUAAAGUGGUCUGUGUAAAAAUACCAU
ensembl:lncRNA